rnacentral:rRNA from 1 species
AAGCAUAUCAAUAAGCGGAGGAAAAGAAACCAACCGGGAUUGCCUCAGUAACGGCGAGUGAAGCGGCAAGAGCUCAAAUUUGAAAUCUGGCCCCUCUGGGGUCCGAGUUGUAAUUUGCAGAGGAUGCUUCGGGUGCGGUCCCCGUCUAAGUGCCCUGGAACGGGCCGUCAUAGAGGGUGAGAAUCCCGUCUGGGAUGGGCGGCCGCGCCCGUGUGAAGCUCCUUCGACGAGUCGAGUUGUUUGGGAAUGCAGCUCUAAGCGGGUGGUAAAUUUCAUCUAAAGCUAAAUACUGGCCGGAGACCGAUAGCGCACAAGUAGAGUGAUCGAAAGAUGAAAAGCACUUUGAAAAGAGAGUUAAACAGCACGUGAAAUUGUUGAAAGGGAAGCGUUGUCCACCAGACUCGCCCGGGGGGGCUCAGCCGGCACGUGUGCCGGUGUACUCCUCUCCGGGCGGGCCAGCAUCGGUUUGGGCGGCUGGUGAAAGACUCCGGGAAUGUACCACCCUCCGGGGUGCCUUAUAGCCCGGGGUGCCAUGCAGCCAGCCUGGACCGAGGCCCGCGCUUCGGCGAGGAUGCUGGCGUAAUGGUGGUCAACGGCCCGUCUUGAAACACGGACCAAGGAGUCUAACAUCUAUGCGAGUGUUCGGGUGUCAAACCCGUCCGCGCAGUGAAAGCGAACGGAGGUGGGAGCUCUUCGGGGCGCACCAUCGACCGAUCCUGAUGUCUUCGGAUGGAUUUGAGUAAGAGCAUAGCUGUUGGGACCCGAAAGAUGGUGAACUAUGCCUGAAUAGGGCGAAGCCAGAGGAAACUCUGGUGGAGGCUCGCAGCGGUUCUGACGUGCAAAUCGAUCGUCAAAUUUGGGUAUAGGGGCGAAAGACUAAUCGAACCAUCUGGUAGCUGGUCCCUGCCGA